rnacentral:rRNA from 1 species
UCAGAUUGAACGCUGGCGGCAGGCCUAACACAUGCAAGUCGAACGGUAACAGGAAGCAGCUUGCUGCUUYGCUGACGAGUGGCGGACGGGUGAGUAAUGUCUGGGAAACUGCCUGAUGGCGGGGGAUAACUACUGGAAACGGUAGCUAAUACCGCAUAACGUCGCAAGACCAAAGAGGGGGACCUUCGGGCCUCUUGCCAUCGGAUGUGCCCAGAUGGGAUUAGCUAGUAGGUGGGGUAACGGCUCACCUAGGCGACGAUCCCUAGCUGGUCUGAGAGGAUGACCAGCCACACUGGAACUGAGACACGGUCCAGACUCCUACGGGAGGCAGCAGUGGGGAAUAUUGCACAAUGGGCGCAAGCCUGAUGCAGCCAUGCCGCGUGUAUGAAGAAGGCCUUCGGGUUGUAAAGUACUUUCAGCGGGGAGGAAGGCGAUACGGUUAAUAACCGUGUCGAUUGACGUUACCCGCAGAAGAAGCACCGGCUAACUCCGUGCCAGCAGCCGCGGUAAUACGGAGGGUGCAAGCGUUAAUCGGAAUUACUGGGCGUAAAGCGCACGCAGGCGGUCUGUCAAGUCGGAUGUGAAAUCCCCGGGCUCAACCCGGGAACUGCAUUCGAAACUGGCAGGCUAGAGUCUUGUAGAGGGGGGUAGAAUUCCAGGUGUAGCGGUGAAAUGCGUAGAGAUCUGGAGGAAUACCGGUGGCGAAGGCGGCCCCCUGGACAAAGAC